UUCUUAAACACUUUGGAAACGAAGACCAACAUGGGAAAUAUAUUGAAUGUACUGAAAACAUGUGGUUCAGGGUACGCUGAUAUAGAAGAGGAUUUUCUGAUAUUUCUAGAUUUUGAGGGAAUCAAGCAGGGAUUUCAGGAUAUAGAGGGAAUAGAUUCAAGGAAUG
rnacentral:lncRNA from 1 species